GCAGUCGUAGCUUAAUGGUUAGAGCGUCAGACUUGUAACCCGAAAGUGAACCUACAGGUCGUGGGUUCAAGUCCAGCAGGGAGGG